GUUAACAUGUUACAUGUUAAAGUUACGAGUCUUUCUUGUGCCUACAAUGCUCCGAAAGUAAUGCUAGACAAACGGCAUCCUGGGCAAUCGCAAAUAUUGCCCCAGACGACUUGUGUUUGUCUACA
rnacentral:snoRNA from 1 species